ACGUGAAUUGCUUAUUGCACCACAUGUGUUUUUUAUUGAACAAAUUUCUUUGGUGGCGGGAGCAAUCCUACCGCCAGAGGUUAUAACUAAACCAAACUUUUUAUUUACAGUCAAACUUGAUUUAUUAUUACAAUAGUCAAAACUUUCAACAACGGAUCUCUUGGUUCUCGCAUCGAUGAAGAACGCAGCGAAAUGCGAUACGUAAUAUGAAUUGCAGAUAUUCGUGAAUCAUCGAAUCUUUGAACGCACAUUGCGCCCUUUGGUAUUCCAAAGGGCAUGCCUGUUUGAGCGUCAUUUCUCCCUCAAACCCCCGGGUUUGGUGUUGAGCAAUACGCUAGGUUUGUUUGAAAGAAUUUAACGUGGAAACUUAUUUUAAGCGACUUAGGUUUAUCCAAAACGCUUAUUUUGCUAGUGGCCACCACAAUUUAUUUCAUAACUUUGACCUCAAAUCAGGUAGGACUACCCGCUGAACUUAAGCAUAUCAAAGCUGGGAGGAAAG
rnacentral:rRNA from 1 species